AAAGAAUCUUGACUGGGCCCCCAACACAGCUGAGAGUUUUUUAAUAUUAAUUUACAUAAAUUCAUGCUCUUUUCUGUUAUUUUGACUAUCGUCUCAUAUAUUUAAGUCAAUCAGACAAUUGAACUCCAUCCCAUGUCCACACCCGUAAUUUGUCCUCUGUAAUACUGCACUACUUCAGUACUGUAUAAUGUAUAUACUGUGCAUAGCUGUACAUGUGUCAUAUAGUGUAUUCACAUAUAUUUAUAUUUGUAUGAAUGUACUGUACAUAUUUGUACUGUACACUGGCAAUGACAAUGAAGUUAAUCUAAUCUAACCUAAUAUUUUUAACAUGACAGUUGAAAUGUAACUGAAACAAUGAAGUGCAUUUGAGAAAAUUGAGUUCCCUUAUCAUGCACUUUCAACAUUAGAACGGCCACCAGCAUUAAUUUUAACCGCAACAUUUAAACUUAUGGUAAUUAUCUUUAACACUAGAAUGAACACGUCAUCAUUUUGACCGUUUUGAAACUUGCGUAUUCAAUAAUUCUGUCUAAAUAAAUCACAAAGCCUUGCUGCUCCCUGACUUUUCCUAAAACUACACGAAUUUUCAUUAAAACAAGUUUAAAUAUUUAUUGUGGAUAUAAAAACAGAAAUAUAAUUAUUUCUACCUAUAACGUCCACAGGCAGUCAUUUUGCGCUGUUUAAAAUGAGUUUUGCCGACGGUCUGGAUCAGAUAAUAGGGACUUUAAGCAACAGCUGCGAAUGGAGCGGCUACAGCGACCGGAAGUUUGCUGUCACACCGCCGUAGCCAAGAACGUAAAAAUCACUAAGCAACGGUAAACAGGACAGCGCAACGCGGCAUUAAUUCACUUAUUGAGAUACAAAAAAAUGUCAUUUAAAAAAGCAAGAGAAGGAUUGCUUUUGGCAUUAAAUGACAAUCUUUUGUCAGAAGAGGAGUUUUUAAUAUUGUAUGAUGUAAAUAAGUCUAAAAACCUAGAUUUACCAUGUAAGCAAUACUUGCCUUUUAACGUUGAUUACAUGGAGGAAGACGAAUGCUUAAAUGGAUUUCGUGUCAGAAAAUGUGACCUACCAAUUCUGGUAGAAUUUAGCAGACGCUUUUAUCCAAACCUAAUUUUUUUAUUCAAGCUAUCAUUAAUAUUUUUUUAUUACCUAUAUACAUUUUCUCGGGAUUCCCAAUGAGAUCGUUUGUGAUCAGACAAUCAUAAACUAAUGCAAAUUACAGUGUCAUAUGCCAUAAAAACAUAAAGUAUUAUGUGAAGAUGGUUGGCAGAGAUGAAUCAUGCUGUCUUUGACAAUAUAGGGGACAGUGUAGUAAUGCAACUCCACAUCAUCUUCAAGAGAGGCACUGAAACCUCACAAACAGCGGAUAGUUCGAGUUCAUGAAGUUAGACUGCUUGCAAGACAGGUGCAACAGCGUGGACCGCAGCCGGGUGCUGAAAGUGGGCGCCGCCUCGUACAAAGAUGCCGACACCGGCUGCAUGUGAGGCAAAGCCGUGCACCCGCUGCACCCUGCUCUGUCGAAACGUGCCAACUUAUCGAAAAAUGAUACCGUAGAGACCUAGGGCCUCGUGUACAAAGCGUGCGUACGCACAGAAAAGUGCCGUAGGCUACGAUCAUUGUCACGGGCAUUCCACUAACAAUUUAGGCCUAACGUUACUUACAAACCCACCUUUUCUUGUGAAAUAUUGGGUAACAUACUGUCGACCCUUUGCCUCUUUCACUUCUUUUUUUUUUUUUUUUCUCUUUCCGUUUUUGACUUCCAGAUUUUUGAGGCAUUUUCACAUCCUAUGUCAAGUUGAAUCUGC
ensembl:lncRNA